UUUUUUUGUGAGCAUUGUUGAUGUGGGUGCCUUCAUAAGAAGUUUCUUCAAAAAAUGUCAAAUAUUCUUGGACCUAGCCCAUCUGACUCAUGGACAUCCUUCAACUAUCCCUUAGUCAGUUGAAUUGUUGGGGCACCACACAAGAUCUGUCAACAAUCUUUCUCCAUUACUCUGUUAUUUGCCUUGGAUAGAAUUUCAUCUAAUGACAGCCCUGCCCAUUCUUUAAUGUACCGGUAGUCUUCCCAUCACUUUCUCUGUCUGCUUCUUAUCUUCUCCCUGAAACUGUUCUUUGAAGGUGUUUGGGAGUCCAUUAGGACCUUGACAUAUGACCAUAGAGUUUAAAUUUGCGGGUUAAUUUUUUAUUUUUUU